rnacentral:rRNA from 1 species
CCUACGGGGGGCAGCAGUGAGGAAUAUUGGUCAAUGGACGCAAGUCUGAACCAGCCAUGCCGCGUGCAGGAAGACGGCUCUAUGAGUUGUAAACUGCUUUUGUACGAGGGUAAACGCAGAUACGUGUACCUGUCUGAAAGUAUCGUACGAAUAAGGAUCGGCUAACUCCGUGCCAGCAGCCGCGGUAAUACGGAGGAUUCAAGCGUUAUCCGGAUUUAUUGGGUUUAAAGGGUGCGUAGGCGGUCGGGUAAGUUAGAGGUGAAAUCCCGAGGCUCAACUUCGGAAUUGCCUGUGAUACUGUGCGGCUAGAGAGUAGUUGCGGUAGGCGGAAUGUAUGGUGUAGCGGUGAAAUGCUUAGAGAUCAUACAGAACACCGAUUGCGAAGGCAGCUUACCAAACUGCUUCUGACGUUGAGGCACGAAAGCGUGGGGAGCAAACAGGAUUAGAUACCCGGGUAGUC